AUUUAGAUAGUUUAUAAUUUAAAAUUUAAAGUUGUGGUCUUUAAGAAAGAGAUUUCUUCUAAAUA
rnacentral:tRNA from 1 species